CAGGGUUAGCCUGAGAGCUAACAGUGCUAAUGCAGUAACUAUAACAGCAGGGUUAGCCUGAGAGCUAACAGUGCUAAUGCAGUAACUAUAACAUCAGGGUUAGCCUGAGAGCUAACUUAAGCUAGCUAGGUUAGUAUGUUGUUUUGACCAAGUUUAGCACAGCUAGCUGCUAAUCUACAGCCUCCAAAGGUUAUUUAACUAGGUUAACUAACGCUAACUAUAACUGAUUAACUGAAUAGGUAACCUAGCUAACAUGCUAAUUCACACACAUGUAAUUUUAGCUCUAUAGCUAGCUUGGGCUAAGCUAGGUUAAGUGUUAUGAAUUCCUAGCCAAGCACUUUGUAGAAUACGUGAAUAUUUAGUAGUAAUAAGGAGUAUUAUUUCUAAUUCUAGGAUUUUUCCCCUGUUAGACUAGUUAAGUCUAGACCUUUGACAGAUACUAGAAUUAUCUGUAUUAUUAUCUGUAUUUUUGAGCACAUUUGUGAUGAAUGCCCCUUUGUUCAGCUAUAGUAAACACACUGUGGGAGCUAGUACUAUUGUUUCAGCUUAAACUAAAGAGUAAAAAGACCCUUUUCUGACCAGAACCACAGUUUAGAGUUUAACAUUGUGCUCUGUGUUGUUAUUGAGGUUCAUUUUGUGCUAUAAUGUACUAUACUGUUCCAGCCACUCUCUGUUUUUCCUGCAUGUUUACAGUAUUGUAUCUCUCCUUGUAGGGAAGGGGAUCUCUGAGCUGUCAAACCUUCCUCCACAUAAAGGACAGACCUUACUUUUAAAGGCCUUAAAACUACAAUUAACUUCAUAUAUCAGACUGAAUGACGGACAGAGAGAUGUCGGAAGUGAAGGCAGAAGACUCUGCCAAUGGGGUGAUGGCAGCAAAUGGUGGUGGUGUUGUAUACGAGGACAGAGAGGUCAAUGAGAAUGCCAGGUACUGCCAUAUAUUUUUUUGACUGCUUUAUUAUGAAAAUCAUGCAACACAUGAAGUUUGGAGGUGUGUAGUGAUGAACUCUGAAGCUACAUGUAGUUUGGAGCUGUGUAGUGAUGAACUCUGAAGCUACAUGAAGUUUGGAGGUGUGUAGUGAUUGAUGCUGAAGCUACAUGAAGUUUGGACUGGAGGUGCGUAAUA
rnacentral:lncRNA from 1 species